AGUGAAAGACGGUCUUGCUGUCCUACUUAUAGAUGGAUUCCCGCGCUAGCAUUAGCUAGUUGGUAAGGUAACGGCUUACCAAGGCAACGAUGCAUAGCCGACCUGAGAGGGUGAUCGGCCACACUGGAACUGAGACACGGUCCAGACUCCUACGGGAGGCAGCAGUAGGGACUCCUUCCGCAAUGGGCGAAAGCCUGACGGAGCAACGCCGCGUGAGUGAUGAAGGUCUUCGGAUCGUAAAACUCUGUUAUUAGGGAAGAACAUAUGUGUAAGUAACUGUGCACAUCUUGACGGUACCUAAUCAGAAAGCCACGGCUAACUACGUGCCAGCAGCCGCGGUAAUACGUAGGUGGCAAGCGUUAUCCGGAAUUAUUGGGCGUAAAGCGCGCGUAGGCGGUUUUUUAAGUCUGAUGUGAAAGCCCAGGCUCAACCGUGGAGGGUCAUUGGAAACUGGAAACUUGAGUGCAGAAGAGGAAAGGGAAUUCCAUGUGUAGCGGUGAAAUGCGCAGAGAUAUGGAGGAACACCAUGGCGAAGGCGACUUUCUGGUCUGUAACUGACGCUGAUGUGCGAAAGCGUGGGGAUCAAACAGGAUUAGAUACCCUGGUAGUCCACGCCAAACGAUGAGGUGCUAAGUGUUAGGGGGUUUCCGCCCCUUAGCUGCAGCUAACGCAUUAAGCACUCCGCCUGGGGAGUACGACCGCAAGGUUGAAACUCAAAGGAAUUGACGGGGACCCGCACAAGCGGUGGAGCAUGUGGUUUAAUUCGAAGCAACGCGAAGAACCUUACCAAAUCUUGACAUCCUUUGACAUCUAGAGAUAGAGCCUUCCCCUUCGGGGGACAAAGUGACAGGUGGUGCAUGGUUGUCGUCAGCUCGUUCGUGAGAUGUUGGGUUAAGUCCCGCAACGAGCGCAACCCUUAAGCUUAGUUGCCAUCAUUAAGUUGGGCACUCUAAGUUGAUCCUGCCGGUGACAAACCGGAGGAAGGUGGGGAUGACAUUCAAAUCAUCAUGCCCCUUAAUGAUUUGGGCUACACACGUGCUACAAUGGACAAUACAAAGGGCAGCGAAACCGCGAGGUCAAGCAAAUUCCCAUAAAGUUGUUCUCAGUUCGCGAUGUAGUCUGGCAACUCGACUACAUGAAGCUGGAAUCGCUAGUAAU
rnacentral:rRNA from 1 species